UUUACCAUGUAGCAGCAACAGGCCAAAUUUGUGGCUUUACCAUGUAGCAGCAACAGGCCAAAUUUGUGGCUUUACCGUGUAGCAGUGACGGGCCAAAUUUGUGGCUUUACCGUGUAGCAGUGACGGGCCAAAUUUGUGGCUUUACCAUGUAGCAGCAACAGGCCAAAUUUGUGCCGUGAUUUAAACCCCCCAAAAUAGAUGAUACAUAAACUGAUCACAAAUGCUUCGAUAUAUAUUAUGAAAUGGUUUGUGUGAGUGAUGAUUUUUUCUCAUUUUUCUCGCUUAGGGGGACCAUUAAAAAACAUGAUCCCUGUUGCUACCGGGUUAAUAUUAUAUCCUGUGAACAUAAGAACAUAAGAACGUAAGGAGUCUGCAAGAGGCCGGUUCACUUCUCCUAUUAAAUUAACUGGUUCCUUUAUACACAGAUCAAUUACCUUUAUUAUUAUUAUUGCUAUUAUCAUUAUUUAUUUAUUUACGUGUUUUUUUAAUGGGUGUGUGAAUGAGUGUAAUGUUUUUCGUCCGUUUGUGGCUACCUGGGCUCGUUAAAAAUUGUCGUUUCUCAGGUGAAUGGAGGUAAAUUUUGGGUACCUGUUUAUGUGGUCUGAUUUUCUUUUGUUUUAUCUCUCUUUAAUUGGUGAGUGAAUGAGUAUAUAAUGUUUUUCGUCCGUUUGUGGCUACCUGGGCUCGUUAAAAAUUGUCGUUUCUCAGGUGAAUGGAGGUAAAUUAUGGGUACCUGUUUAUGUGGUCUGAUUUUAUUUUGUUUUAUCUCUCUUUAAUUGGUGAGUGAAUGAGUGUAGUGUUUUUUGUCUCCAUGGCUGCCUGGGCUCGUUAAAAAUUGUCGUUUCUCAGGUGAAUGAAGGUAAAUUUUGGGUACCUGUUUCUAUAGUCUGAUUUUCUUUUGCUUUAUCUCUCUUUAAUUGGUGAGUGAAUGAGUAUAUAAUGUUUUUUGUCCGUUUGUGGCUACCCGGGCUCGUUAAAAAUUGUCAUUUCUCAGGUGAAUAGAGGUAAAUUAUGGGUACCUGUUUAUUUGGUCUGAUUUUCUUUUGUUUUAACUCUCACUCUCUCUCUUUCUCUCUGGUCGAAGUUGUUUGUUUAUUUAGUUAGUU